rnacentral:rRNA from 1 species
CCUACGGGCGGCAGCAGUAGGGAAUAUUGCUCAAUGGGGGAAACCCUGAAGCAGCAACGCCGCGUGGAGGAUGAAGGUUUUCGGAUUGUAAACUCCUUUUGUUAGAGAAGAUAAUGACGGUAUCUAACGAAUAAGCACCGGCUAACUACGUGCCAGCAGCCGCGGUAAUACGGAGGGUGCAAGCGUUACUCGGAAUCACUGGGCGUAAAGAGCGCGUAGGCGGGGUAGCAAGUCAGAUGUGAAAUCCUAUGGCUUAACCAUAGAAGUGCAUUUGAAACUGUUAUUCUAGAGUAUGGGAGAGGUAGGUGGAAUUCUGGGUGUAGGGGUAAAAUGCGUAGAGAUCAAGAGGAAUACUGAUUGCGAAGGCGACCUGCUAGAACAUAACUGACGCUGAUGCGCGAAAGCGUGGGGAGCAAACAGGAUUAGAUACCCUUGUAGUC